rnacentral:rRNA from 1 species
GAGGGAAAGGCGAAAAGAACCCCGGCGAGGGGAGUGAAACAGAACCUGAAACCGUGUACGUACAAGCAGUGGGAGCGCAGGUUUAGGUGUGUGACUGCGUACCUUUUGUAUAAUGGGUCAGCGACUUAUAUUCUGUAGCAAGGUUAACCGUAUAGGGGAGCCGGAGGGAAACCGAGUCUUAAUUGGGCGUUAAGUUGCAGGGUAUAGACCCGAAACCCGGUGAUCUAGCCAUGGGCAGGUUGAAGGUUGGGUAACACUAACUGGAGGACCGAACCGACUAAUGUUGAAAAAUUAGCGGAUGACCUGUGGCUGGGGGUGAAAGGCCAAUCAAACCGGGAGAUAGCUGGUUCUCCCCGAAAGCUAUUUAGGUAGCGCCUCGUGAAUUCAUCUCCGGGGGUAGAGCACUGUUUCGGCCAGGGGGCCAUCCCGGCUUACCAACCCGAUGCAAACUGCGAAUACCGGAGAAUGUUAUCACGGGAGACACACGGCGGGUGCUAACGUCCGUCGUGAAGAGGGAAACAACCCAGACCGCCAGCUAAGGUCCCAAAGUCAUGGUUAAGUGGGAAACGAUGUGGGAAGGCCCAGACAGCCAGGAUGUUGGCUUAGAAGCAGCCAUCAUUUAAAGAAAGCGUAAUAGCUCACUGGUCGAGUCGGCCUGCGCGGAAGAUGUAACGGGGCUAAACCAUGCACCGAAGCUGCGAUAAUGCGGGUGAAAAACCCGCACGCCGGAAGACCAAGGGUUCCUGUCCAACGUUAAUCGGGGCAGGGUGAGUCGACCCCUAAGGCGAGGCCGAAAGGCGUAGUCGAUGGGAAACAGGUUAAUAUUCCUGUACCUGGUGUUACUGCGAAGGGGGGACGGAGAAGGCUAUGUUGGCCGGGCGACGGUUGUCCCGGUUUAAGCGUGUAGGCUGGUUUUCCAGGCAAAUCCGGAAAAUCAAGGCUGAGGCGUGACGACGAGGCACUACGGUGCUGAAGCAACAAAUGCCCUGCUUCCAGGAAAAGCCUCUAAGCCUCAGGUAACAUCAGAUCGUACCCGAAACCGACACAGGUGGUCAGGUAGAGAAUACCAAGGCGCUUGAGAGAACCCGGGUGAAGGAACUAGGCAAAAUGGUGCCGUAACUUCGGGAGAAGGCACGCUGACACGUAGGUGAAGCGGUUUACCCGUGAAGCUGAAGUCAGUCGAAGAUACCAGCUGGCUGCAACUGUUUAUUAAAAACACAGCACUGUGCAAACACGAAAGUGGACGUAUACGGUGUGACGCCUGCCCGGUGCCGGAAGGUUAAUUGAUGGGGUCAGCGCAAGCGAAGCUCCUGAUCGAAGCCCCGGUAAACGGCGGCCGUAACUAUAACGGUCCUAAGGUAGCGAAAUUCCUUGUCGGGUAAGUUCCGACCUGCACGAAUGGCGUAAUGAUGGCCAGGCUGUCUCCACCCGGGACUCAGUGAAAUUGAACUCGCUGUGAAGAUGCAGUGUACCCGCGGCAAGACGGAAAGACCCCGUGAACCUUUACUAUAGCUUGACACUGAACACUGGUCCUUGAUGUGCAGGAUAGGUGGGAGGCUUUGAAGUGUGGACGCCAGUCUGCAUGGAGCCGUCCUUGAAAUACCACCCUUUAAUGGCUGGUGUUCUAACGUAGACCCGUGAACCGGGUUGCGGACAGUGUCUGGUGGGUAGUUUGACUGGGGCGGUCUCCUCCUAAAGCGUAACGGAGGAGCACGAAGGUUGGCUAAUCCUGGUCGGACAUCAGGAGGUUAGUGCAAUGGCAUAAGCCAGCUUGACUGCGAGCGUGACGGCGCGAGCAGGUGCGAAAGCAGGUCAUAGUGAUCCGGUGGUUCUGAAUGGAAGGGCCAUCGCUCAACGGAUAAAAGGUACUCCGGGGAUAACAGGCUGAUACCGCCCAAGAGUUCAUAUCGACGGCGGUGUUUGGCACCUCGAUGUCGGCUCAUCACAUCCUGGGGCUGAAGUAGGUCCCAAGGGUAUGGCUGUUCGCCAUUUAAAGUGGUACGCGAGCUGGGUUUAGAACGUCGUGAGACAGUUCGGUCCCUAUCUGCCGUGGGCGCUGGAGAACUGAGGGGGGCUGCUCCUAGUACGAGAGGACCGGAGUGGACGCAUCACUGGUGUUCGGGUUGUCAUGCCAAUGGCACUGCCCGGUAGCUAAAUGCGGAAGAGAUAAGUGCUGAAAGCAUCUAAGCACGAAACUUGCCCCGAGAUGAGUUCUCCCUGAGACUACAAGUCUCCUGAAGGAACGUUGAAGACGACGACGUUGAUAGGCCGGGUGUGUAAGCGCAGCGAUGCGUUGAGCUAACCGGUACUAAUGAACCGUGAGGCUUAACCUUACAACGCCGAAG